rnacentral:rRNA from 1 species
CCUACGGGGUGCUGCAGUGGGGAAUAUUGGACAAUGGGCGAAAGCCUGAUCCAGCCAUGCCGCGUGUGUGAAGAAGGCCUUCGGGUUGUAAAGCACUUUCAGUGGGGAAGAAAGCCUUGGGGCUAAUACCCUCGAGGAAGGACAUCACCCACAGAAGAAGCACCGGCUAACUCCGUGCCAGCAGCUGCGGUAAUACGGAGGGUGCGAGCGUUAAUCGGAAUUACUGGGCGUAAAGCGCGCGUAGGCGGUCUGAUAAGCCGGUUGUGAAAGCCCCGGGCUCAACCUGGGAACGGCAUCCGGAACUGUCAGGCUAGAGUGCAGGAGAGGAAGGUAGAAUUCCCGGUGUAGCGGUGAAAUGCGUAGAGAUCGGGAGGAAUACCAGUGGCGAAGGCGGCCUUCUGGACUGACACUGACGCUGAGGUGCGAAAGCGUGGGUAGCAAACAGGAUUAGAUACCCGAGUAGUC